rnacentral:lncRNA from 1 species
GCAGGCGGCACCCGGCGGCUGGGAAGCGAGGGAUGCUCGCCGAAGCCACCGGGGAGGAGCCCGCCGGGACCGGUGCGACCGAGCAGCGAGACGGAACUGGGACUUGCGCGAAGCGCCUGGAGGGAAGACCAGCCGGGCCAAGGGUGGCAGUGAAAUGUUACAGCAGGAGCCUGAAGCUGCAUGGAAGCAGAACGCAGCCAACACGUCUCCUAACAGAAGGAGCUGAAGGGCAACCCCAACACAGACAGGUGGUCACCAUCACCCCAUUUCCACUUUCUGUGAUGGACAGGUCCGACAGUGUGC